CCUACGGGAGGCAGCAGUGGGGAAUAUUGCACAAUGGGCGAAAGCCUGAUGCAGCGACGCCGCGUGAGGGACGACGGCCUUCGGGUUGUAAACCUCUUUCAGCAGGGACGAAGCGCAAGUGACGGUACCUGCAGAAGAAGCACCGGCCAACUACGUGCCAGCAGCCGCGGUAAUACGUAGGGUGCGAGCGUUGUCCGGAAUUAUUGGGCGUAAAGAGCUCGUAGGCGGUCUGUUGCGUCGACUGUGAAAACUCGGGGCUCAACUCCGAGCCUGCAGUCGAUACGGGCAGACUAGAGUUCGGCAGGGGAGACUGGAAUUCCUGGUGUAGCGGUGAAAUGCGCAGAUAUCAGGAGGAACACCGGUGGCGAAGGCGGGUCUCUGGGCCGAAACUGACGCUGAGGAGCGAAAGCGUGGGGAGCGAACAGGAUUAGAUACCCUGGUAGUCCACGCCGUAAACGUUGGGCGCUAGGUGUGGGGGUCCUUCCACGGCCUCCGUGCCGCAGCUAACGCAUUAAGCGCCCCGCCUGGGGAGUACGGCCGCAAGGCUAAAACUCAAAUGAAUUGACGGGG
rnacentral:rRNA from 1 species